rfam:Gemmatimonadetes bacterium SCN 70-22 ABS52_C0030, whole genome shotgun sequence.
GCUGACGUAGCUCAGUUGGUAGAGCUCCUGAUUUGUAAUCAGGUGGUCGCGAGUUCGAGUCUCGCCGUCAGCU